rnacentral:rRNA from 1 species
UACAGGGGUCUCAAGCGUUGUUCGGAUUCAUUGGGCGUAAAGGGUGCGUAGGCGGCGCGGUAAGUCGGGUGUGAAAUCUCGGAGCUUAACUUCGAAACUGCAUUCGAUACUGCCGUGCUUGAGGACUGGAGAGGAGACUGGAAUUUACGGUGUAGCGGUGAAAUGCGUAGAUAUCGUAAGGAAGACCAGUGGCGAAGGCGGGUCUCUGGACAGUUCCUGACGCUGAGGCACGAAGGCCAGGGGAGCAAACGGG